rnacentral:rRNA from 1 species
UCUCUCUGAAUCUGCGUACGGCUCCGCACACCAGUUGUAAACCAAAGCAAGCAAGCCCGGUCUCGACGCCUUUCGGGGCUAGGGGCCGGGCUACAAGGAUAACCCUGGUAAUUCUGAGGCUAAUACUUGACACGGAACCUGUCGACUGGGUCUCGGCCCGGGAAACAGGGGAUGUGCGACUAUCGGGCCAACAAAACCGGAAAGAGCGCACGUUCAGACCACUUAAAAAGGCCACGGGGUUCUUCGGAAUCUCGGGGCUGUGGCUCUUGCAGCGUGCUUCUGACCUAUCAACUAGACGGCAGCCUAAGGGACAUGCUUUGGUGACAACGGGUACAGAGGAUAAGGGUUCGAUCCUGGAGAGUGGGCCUGAGAGAUU